AACUUUGCAGACUCUUUCAGCUCCUGAGAGGAGGUCUGCUGAAGACCCCGGACUCGACUUGAGAGGAAACUGAAAUCAUCUGCGGUUGUGUGAGCACUUGACUUGUUUGCACAUGAGCAAAGGUGUUUUUAGGAGUCUAACUUGCAAACGCCGGACCACUGAUUAAUCAAACCUGCUUUCUUGCAGUCUGUGUUCUUCUGACUUUAUUUUGUACUCGCAGGGAUCUCAUAUUGUAAGAAGGCAGAUAAAAGAGAGACGCCAUGGAUUUUCUGAAAUUCGUGGGAGGCGUGGCACUGGGUGUGUCCGAGUGCGCGGUGGGCGUGACCAGAGCCGUGGUGGAUGUUCCUCUGGGGAUAGUGAAAGGAGCGGUGUACAGCACCGUAGAGGCCGGCAGUAAAAUGAGCAGCGUGGGCUCCGCCGCUGAACUUAUUGGUGCCACUGCAGUUCUGCUGGUGUCCCCGGUGACCGGCGCUGUGAGCGGAGGAACCAAAGAGAUCGUCAAGGCGCCAGAAAAAGUUGUGCAUGGUAUUGUUAAUGGCGUGAAAAGAGUGUUUGAUGAUUGAGCAUGAAACAUAGACCUCAUCUAAAAGUGUAAGUUUUUGUUUGAUAAACCUUUAACACUCAUAUUGAUAAUGCACAAACAGCUCCACCUGCUGCCAAUGAGCCUGCACAUGUAACAUUCUCUAUAAACACAUCUGAGACAUGGACACAAAUGUAUAUGAAAAAAAAAUGUUCAUUCGACUCCCAGUUAAAAUUCCAGUUAAAUAUGGUUUGAUGAUGUGUCUAAAAAUUACUUAAUAUUAAUAUAGACACAUUUUUUUUAUUUUGUGCAGGCCUAAAUUAUCUCUGGUCUUUCUGUUUUCAGUGUUUGAAUACUUGUAAAAUAAAAACUUAUCAAACGA